GCGCCGAUGGUGUAAUGGCGCAGAGCAUCCCCGCCCAGUCAGCAGGAGGUGCGGGUUCGAGUCCCGUUUGGCGUC
rnacentral:tRNA from 1 species